GGAGAGGUGGCAGAGCGGUCGAAUGCACCGGUCUUGAAAACCGGCGUAUCCGCAAGGGUACCGUGGGUUCGAAUCCCACCCUCUCCGCCA
rnacentral:tRNA from 1 species